AAGCUCCCUUGAGUCUUUCUUUUGAGUCCAAGGGUUGACACACACCAAAAGAAAGAUAAGUCUCCAUCUUAUCUCAUAUUUGACUCUUUCAAAGAACCUACAACAAUCAAGAACUCACUCCCUCUUUCAUUCCUACGGGUCCAACACAAAAAGAAGGAAAAGCUCUCAAUUAUUUUUCUCCCUUUCACACCUAUGAGUCCAGCAACAAGAAGGAAGCUUUUUUCAACUCUCUCAAGCUCUCUACCUCUCAUACUUUCUAGUCCAGCCACUAGGAAAGGGAAAUCCUUUCAUGUGUAACCAGAACACAAGUCUAAGCUCCUUCAACUAUAGGCUUUCGGUUCCUCUGCUUUCAGGUGUAACCAGAACACAAGUCUAAGCUCCUUCAACUGUAGGCUUUCGGUUCCUCUGCUUUCAGGUGUAACCAGAACACAAGUCUAAGCUCCUUCGACUGUAGGCUUUCGGUUCCUUUGCUUUCAGUUAGCAGGUUUUAUUUUGGAGCAGAGGAAGUCUUAGUCGAGUUUUGGAGGGAGCUGAUUUUAGUUUUUAUGUAUAGAUCCUAAAUUAGCAAUUUGAUGCUUAGAUUUGUAGUAAGGUGUAUUUUAGGAUCUAAUGAAAGUUGUGUACCUUAAAGUAUUAAGAGAUGUAUUAUGUGAAAUUCUGAAUUUGAAU